CAUAGCAGUUAAAGUGUGUGCUGAAAAACGUACAAGGAGUAGUUUAAUUAGAAUUUCAGCUUGGGUGUUGACAGUGAAGCAGAAGUGCUUUUUCCCUGAGUUGUCCUGGAGAGGGAAUUCCCCAUUUCUGGUUUACAAGACCGGAGCAUUGAGUUAUACUACAAGGGCAGUUUCAUUUGAGUAAUUUGUUUUCAAUUAGGGCGGUAAUUGGUGUAAGGUGAAGAUAGUUGAGAAGUGCAUAAUGGAUGCUGUUUGUCUGAUGAUAAUAAAAGGGUAGCUGAUUGGCUGCCCUCCGAUUCAUAUGAGUGUGAGACUAGUGGACGGAAUACUAUGCUUUGCUGUUUAGACAUGUGAGGUAUAGAAAUAACUGCUAGAAUAAGAAUGGAAGAUAUAAGGGCCAGUACACCUCCUAGUUUAUUAGGGAUGGAUCAUAAGAUUGCAUAUGCAAAUAAAAAGUAUUACUCUGGUUUAAUGUGGGGCGAGGUAUUGAGGGGGUUGGCUAAAGUGUAAUUAUCUGGGUAGCUCAGGAGAUCAGGUGAAAAUAGUACUAGAAUUAUUAGGAAGAGGAGGAGGAGAAUUAGGCCUAGAAUAUCUUUGAUUGUGUAGUAAGCGUGGAAAGUGAUUUUGUCAGGGUCUGAUGAGAUCCCUGAAGGGUUAUUAGAUCCUGUUUCAUGUAAGAACAAAAGGUGAAAAGUCUCUAAAGCUGCAAUGAUGAAAGGUAAGAUAAAAUGGAAGGCAAAAAAUCGUGUAAGGGUGGCUUUGUCUACUGAAAAUCCACCUCAGAUUCAUUGCACAAGGUCAGUUCCAAUAUACGGAAUGGCUGAUAGCAGGUUUGUAGAAUAGGUGUGUAAAAACUCAGAAGAUUUGGCCUCAUGGGAGUACGUAACCUAUAAAUGCUAUUGCUAUGGUCGUGAGUAGCAGGAUAAUACCAAUAUUUCAGGUUUCUAGAAAUAUAAAUGAACCAUAGUAUAAGCUUUGGCCAAUGUGUAGGAAGAGGCAGGUGAAAAAUACUGAAGCGCCGUUAGCACGAAGAUAACGAAUUAUUCAGCCGUAGUUUACAUCUCGGCUGAUAUUGGUGAUUGAAGAGAAGGCAGUUAAGGGAUCUGAUGUGUAGUGUAUGGCCAGAAAUAAUCUGGUAGUGAUUUGGAGAAUUAAGCAGGCACAAAUAAGUGAGCCAAAGUUUCAUCAUGUAGAAAUGUUGGAUGGUGUGGGAAGAUCAAUGAAUGAAUGACUAAUAAUUUUUAUUAGCAGGUGCGUUGUGCAUAUUUUGGUCAUUAGUGUUCUUAUAGUUGAAAUACAAUGAUGGUUUUUCAUACCAUUAGUCAUGGUUAUAGUCCAUGUAGGAAUAAUGGCUUAUGAUUUAUUAUUAAGUAUUCUUUUAGUUAUAGGGUUUGCAGGUUUUUCUUCGAAACUGUCUCCUAUUUAUGGGGAGGGGAUAGGGUUAAUUAUUAGUGGUGCUGUGGGUUGUGGUAUUCUGUUGAAUUUUGGUGGGACUUUCGUGGGGUUAAUAGUCUUUAAUUUAUUUGGGUGGUAUAAUGGUUGUUUGAGGAGUAUCCUGAAACAUGAGGGUCAAGUAUUGACAUUUGAGGGGCUUUAUUAUUAGGAUUAUUAACAGAGUUGGUGUUAAUUUGGUGAAUGAGUAUGAUGGGAUGGUCAUUAUAAUUAAUUUUAAUAGCAUAUGGAGUUGCAUAAUAUUUGAGGGUGAGGGGGCGAGGUGGUUGCGUGAGGAUUCUGUCGGUGCAGCUUCUUUAUACAGUUACGGGUAUUGGUGGCAGUUGCUGGUUGAACGUUAUUUGUCAGUAUUUAUGUUGCACUUGAAGUUACUCAGGGUGAUGAUUAGGAGGGUGAAGUAUAUGCCUAAGGUAAUUGCGAUGGCGACUACCUUCCAUCAGGCUGUGGUGAGCUCAAGUAAUUGAAACUCCUGAUGCAAGAAUGGGGGCCCAACAGUGCCAAGGCCGCCUCUUGUCACUCUCAACCUGGGAGAUCUCUGCAUAUGGAGGAGUUCUGAGGACUGAUGUGUUUCCAGGGUCUGCAAAUCUCAAAGUAUGUUUCACAGAUCAUUAGUUCCAUUAGAUGCUCCUCAAAAAAGGGGUUUGUGGUUAAGUAGAGCUGAAGACAGCUUUACAUUCUGUUCCCCUCUUAGAGAUUUACAGAGAACAUUAAAGGCUCUGAUAAUUCCUGCAGUUGAGAAAACUGCUUAUUUUGGUUUAACCCAGUGUUUCCCAAACAUAUUUGGGAAGGACCACAUGUAUUUUUUUCACUUAAUUCUUGUUUGCAUCUUUUGGAACUAGUGUUUUUCAGAACAGAUUUUGAGCAACUCCCUACAAAAAUGCUUUGAAAAGACAUACUCUACUGGGUGAGCUCUCUCAUGGGGAGGAAGGGGGUGAAGAAAAUACAUAUGAAUAUGUACAAGUUUUUAAAUUUCAAAAGGGUAUACUAUAAAAUAUAAGAAAUGUGUUUCCUUCCAACCCCAGAUUUUAAAUAUUAUUCUCCACAGGUAACUAAUAUCAAUACUUCCUGGUAUGUUGUCAAAAAGUGUGCAUGUGCCUCUGUGUGUGUGCAUGUAUAUGUGUGUGUGUGUGUGUGCAUGUGUUUAUACAGGUGAGGGUAUUUAACACAUACCAUUUCUGCCUGCUUUUUCUACUUGAAUAGCUUAGAGUAUUUUUGUAUUAGCAUGUAAACCUUCUAUUUAAUGGGUAAAUAGGAGUCUUGCAUAGAUGCACCCCCAUUUUUUUAACCAAUCACCUGUUGAUAGAAGCAUAGGGUUUUCGGGAGGUACUCUCAUAAGAAAGCUUGAAUUUCCAGAAAGACUCUAAGGCAUGUGCGCUGAGAGGGACUAAGCCUUCAAGUCGUUUAUGGUCUUGACUGACUGUUCUAGGCUCACAUCUUAGCAUGACCAGCCAAGCUACUGAGAUGGAGAAAAGGGCAAGGGGCAGGGCCGGCACACUUUGCUGGCAUAGUUUCUCUUAAAUCACUUGCUUUGCUUAGAAGUUUCAGUGAACUCAGCAAUCCUGCCCCAGACAUGAAAUUAGAUGCCUGCUGGAGGUAUAAUGGGCACCUAAUUUCUUCACGGUUGAACUGCUUCAGCCAUUUGAACCAUCUGUGGGUUGUUAGGUCACUUUCACAGGGCUGAUGAGUAAAUAAGGGCCAACUUCUGCUCUCAUUAGUAUGUUUUCCUUUCUCGUCAAGUAAUGAGAACAUGUUGCAAUGGGAUUCGUCACUAAAGAAAAACUGACGAAACCCACUUCUGGAAAGUAGAAAAAAAAAAUACUUCCCCUUUGAAAGUCAAUGAAAACAGUGAGUUUUCUGGGUAAAAUUAAAAUUCACAAUCAGAAGCAGAAUCCUGUUUGGCAGAAUCAAGUUUGGCUCCAGGAGUCUGCAGCCCUUAGAUCAGUGAUCCAGAACGGACUUUUCUCCCAAGCGCCUUGAAACUGUAAGAUUUCCCAGGUGAGCCUGGUCCUCCACGUUCAUUGCUGAUAGGGGGAAGUCUGUAGGAAAAUUCUCCCUCAGCUGCUAGUGACUCAAAGUCUAAGGAUGUCAAAAGAGCUGGCCUCAUUUGUAGGAAGCACGAGGUCUCUUAGUCAUUUACGGUCACAGUUGGGAGAAAGGUCACAGAGUGCCGUUCUUUUGGGAGAGUGCUCUUCAACAGGCACCUGCAUCCCCCAGGCUUCUCUUUUCAGUUUGCCACUCCACAGCAAUCAUUUCUGGCUGGCGGUAUACCUGGGGAACCCAGCAGAAGCAAAUGCAAACCUGCUCUGGAAGAACAAAUCCACACCUUAGGCCACGUGGAAUUCCCACAGGGAAAAAUAAAUCUCCCUGAAGAAUUUAUAAUACAGAUGUAUAAAACACUAAAGGAAAAGAUCCUUUAUGAAUAAGAGUCAGUAGAUAAAAUAGGCAGAAUGAUUCACUCCCCCGCAACUCGAGACGACAGAACAGGUUUAAAAUAUUAUAAAUAUAUUAGGCUUUGGUGAGUUAAGGAAAUGAAAGAAAUAAGCACACAAGAAAAGAAACUAAAAGAAAAAAAGAACCAAAUAAAACAUAUAGAAAUGAAAAGAUAGUGAAACUAAAGACUCAAUGAACGUGUUAAACAGAAGAUUAGAUAGAACCAAAUAGGGAAUUGGUGAACUGAAAGAUAGAUUUGAAACAGCAACUAUACAAAAUUCAGCAUGGAUUAAGAGAAUAAGAGAAGAAAUAUGAAAAAAAUGGUUGAGGCAUAAAAAAAUGACAGAGUCAACAUGCAUACCAAUAUAGUAGGAGUUCUAAAAGGAGAAAACAGACUGGGGGAAAGGCAAGGUAAUAAAGAGGAAAAUUUUCCAGAAUUGGUAAAUAUUAUAACCCUUUAAAUUGAAGAUGAAAAAUGAGUUAAGAACUAGAAAUAAAUUCACCUCUAGGCACAUAAUAGUGAAAUUUCAAAAUAAAAAAACAAAGUGAAACUCUUAUUAGUUACCAGAUAAAUUCAGAUUAUUAAGGACAAAAAUGAGACCCAGAGACUUGUGAACAGCAAUAACAGAGGCAUUGGAAAAAUGACAGAGACACCUGAAAAAUGCCAAGCAAAAAUAAUUAUCAACCUAAAAUGUAUCAGCUAAUUUAUCAUUCAACCUUGAGCAUGAAAUAGACACAUUCAGACAAAGACUGAGAAAGUUCAUCUGUCACACACCCUUCCUGAAAAAUUUUCUAAAGGAAGAACUGCAAGAAUAAGGAGACAGAACCCAAGAGAAAGUAGUGGGUGUAUGCAGUAAUGAUUAGCAAAUAAACCAGUAAAUGAUAGGAAUGCAUUUUUAAAUAAGCAAACAAAAAUAUUUAUUUUAAAACACCAGUAACAACAAUAAUAAUGAGGGAAAAAUUUAAAUAUUAGACAACAAUGACAUGUAAGAUAGAGUGGUUGAUUGGAGUUAGAAUUUUUUAAAGUUUUUGUGUUGUUCAGAAG
rnacentral:lncRNA from 1 species